rnacentral:lncRNA from 1 species
GGAGGAGGGGUGCAGCUCGCCCGCGCGCCGCCGGCAGGUUUCCUCCCGGCCUGGAAGACCUCCGGCACCCGCCACUCGGCCUCCCGGCGCGCUAACCUUGCCCAGCCAGCAGACCUGCUUAGAGCAUCCAAUCGCAUGCGGGGCCUGCUUAGGGUCAGAGAGUUUAUUCCUUCACCAUAGGUUCCAGAGAAAGCUAUCCCCAGAUGCAAGUGAUUGCUAGGAAGUAGAAAAGGGAGCCCUACGUUGUGGAAGGAAGACAACAGUAUAGGACCAUCAGCAGGACCGGACAGAGAGGGGCACCCCUGGCUGUCCUGGAACUUGUAGACCAGGCUGGCCUUGAACUCAGAAAUCCGCCUGCCUCUGACUCCCGAGUGCUGAGAUUAAAGGUGUGCACCACCACACCCGACAAGGAAGCCUGUUUUAAGAAGUGAUUCCAUGGAGGAGUUCUGCGGCGGCUCAGGGCUUGACUAAACAGUGGACCUCAGACAAGAGAGGCUAAACCAGGCUGCAGGUGACAGGAAGAAUUGAAUAAACUGAAAGCAAAGGGCAGCCUUCUAAUUACGCUUCGUGGCUAUGUGGACAACCUGGAGAAGUCUGGAAACCUUUCCUCCUCCAUUUUACUACUUGAGGGAGCAGUGGGUGGGAUACUAGAAGCCAGAAGCCCGAAGCCAGCAGUAGAGCUCUGACUGGCUUGUAUGCCUAGAAAGGAAGGGCUCUUCUUUCGCCUCACGGGCACAAAUGGGACCCACGAGCGCCGAUUUCAGACUAUUCUGAUCCCUUCAAAAAGAAAGUUAGGAGUCCAGGCUACUGUGAGUGAAUUUGAUUCUAAUUGUUUCAGAGAAUAUGGAAUAAAAUAUCUCAUUUGCAGUUGUUUA